GGUUCUUUAAUGUUGCAUUUUAUUUGAUGAAUAUGUGUAGUUACAGUGUUUUGAUAAGACAAUGUCAUUGUUAAGUUUGUUACAUAAUUGUGGGAUAGCAUUUCUUGCACUGGAGUUUUGGUCCUUAUAGUUAUUUGUAGGCCUAAGAGCCGAUUAGGUCAGUAGCGGAAUGCCAUUUGACCUACCUGAUAGGUGAAAUAGCGCGUUCAGGCACUCGGGAGAGGCCACGGGCAGUUGAAAAUGGAAAUAUGUAGAUCUUUGCUAGAAUACAAAUAUGUCAAAGAGUAGAUAGGCCUUGGAUUUCCUUACUAAAUUGGGACGACUAAAUGACAAAUGAUGGGCUGAACUAGUUCUGCAUUCAGCUGAGUUGGGGAGACCGAUUCCACUUCCUAGUAUUAGCUAACCCAUGGGUCUUAUUUUGAAAAUCCUCGUGCUUCUUGUGCUGUCAUCAUUCAGGCCUGCCACCAUCUGAGGUAUAUCCUGCUAGGCUGUUGGAUACCAGCUUGUUUGCUUGUCUAUCUCUGCUAUUGGAAACGUUGUUCAGUGUUGUUGACAUGCAUAUAUCAUUCACUCGCCUAAUCUAGUAUUAAUGCUAUUAAUUGUGAUUAUGAACUACUUCAUGGUUAAUAAUUGGAGAACAUUUAUGGAUAAUUUUUCUUUUCCCACAAUGAUUUAUCAUGGACAUCUAUUCCACCAAGCUGAUGUUUAAUGAGAGUUGAAUCCCUAAUUAUAUCCUGGUCCGAUCUUUUUCUUUUUUAUUUGGUAACUAUGGUGUCUGGACCAGCUUAUGCGCACCUCGACGAGAUACCUGUCACCUCCCACCAACAAGAGGUACUAGGUAACUUUGUUCACCAAGGCUAGGACAGAUAGGAAGAAAUCACCUAGUGUAUUUGUUUCUGCUGUAACCUGCCUAUCUCUUAUAAUGGAUAAGUUUGAAACUAAGGCCAUUACUGUAAUGGUUGGUUUAAGGUAUUAGCAAUCUGGUUACUAACUGACAGUUAUUUCUGUAUUUAUAUAUAUAAGGUAAGUAAAGAUUAAUGAUGGGGAAAACCCUCACAAGUUGGCCCGAACAACACCGUCAUUAAAUACAAAUGAUGGAAAGUCACGUAUGCUAGCCGAAUAUCAAAAAGUAGUGAAACCUACACAAAAAUAUGGUUCUUUUCAAAAGACACUCGGAUAUUCUAUACAAAAAGGGCUAUCAUGGGUGCACUAAAGAGAAACUAGAGAUAAAAGAUUUACUAAUUGACAGUUUAUAUGCUUUCCUCUAGCGCCUAGCUCUAAUUAGUCUGAGCAAAUAUGCUCAUCUUUGACAGUUCUUACUAAGAAUUUACCAUCCUAUUUCUUGUGCUCCUGAACUUGGAAUUUAAUUGCAUCCCCUUUUCCAACUUUUCCCUUUUUCUUUGAGGUCAUGAAGUAGGAAUUUGAUUCCACAGUCAGUGUUGCUGGAGGGAAUGAAGAAAAGCCACUUGACCUAGUAUGGGAAGAAGGUGAAUUUUUUUUAUUUUUUUUUGAUGACAUGGGAACCCGCAGCCGCUACCCUUCGUGUGCGCACAGGGUAAACCCAACUCCUGUGUAAUAUCUCGCAAACGAAGAAGACAAUGUGGAAGAAUGGUGAAAUAGUGUUUUUGUGUGAUGUCCAGACAAUGUGGAAGAAUGGUGAAAUAGAGGGGAUUUUCUCCUUCAUCAAUUGAAAGGUCAUCAGCAUAUGUACAUGUCAUUAUCUAAGAUGUCAUAUAUCCCUAAUGAGAGUGUCCGAGCUGUAAACUUGACUUCAUUAGGCAUUAAAAGAGGAUCCUCUUGUAAAGGUUGACACCAGUUUGUAGCCAUGAUUUACUAUAUAUGCAUUCUUCUUUAACUUUAGACUUUAAGUACUCCCACAUAUCUCAUCAUGUGACACCGGUUAGUGCGUAAACUGACCACUGGCUUCAUGAAUUUCUUUUGAGCUGAUUAGUGGUGAGUUUGCUAGGUCUGAUGUGUUUGAUGUGUGUCUUAUUGGUAAUUAUCACACAGACUAGCUAGCAGUUGGCUAGAGGACAGGUAUGAACAAAUGCUGGUUUGGUGAGGUUCUACGUAAAAGUUUAAGGAGAAUUCUCCUUUUCUGUUAUGAAUUCGAGGAAACUGUAAAACGUUGGGAAAAACUUUAUUGUUCCAUGCACUUUGACCUUUUGGUUUUAGCUCUCAUAAUAUCCUUUUAUGGACUUUGCACACAUUGUCUGGUUCAGACCUGACUAAAUAAAAAGGGAUGCACCAGGCUGAAGGUCCGCAUAAACAAGUCAGUUUACAAUGACUCCUUAUAGUACUGAAAGUGCUUAUAUUAAAGUCCAAUAUAUGCUAUGAGGCAUUUUAGUCUGUUUAGAAAUUUGUAUAUCAGCAGAAAAGGAAAGAACCUUUGAUGUUAAAGAAUCUCAAUUUUUUGAGUAAUUGAAUGAAACGGGUCAAAUGAAGAUAAUAGAUGUUGAGGAUUCAAUCAAUGAAACUACACUGAUGCGUUAUUUUAUUUCUCUUAUUUAACCUUAUUAAUAUAUGUAUAGUAUAUUAAUGAUAAAUACUUGUAGAGAAGGUUGCAUAAUUUUUUCAUUAGCAUCCUUCUAUUUAAACACAUCACCGGCAUCUCAUUUAAAGUUCAUUCCCCUUUGCUUAGUUUUACUCCUCUUUAUCUUUUCUUUUGUUAAAACAUGGUCAGAGGGGUGAUGGAUUCAUCUACUUGAUGUUUGGAGAUUAAAGUGAUUGACAUGCAUGACCUUUUAGAAGUUCCAGUCUGUCCUCUCUGAAACAUAACUAUUUUCAAGUAUUAUCAAACCAUCAUUGGAGAAGCUCUCUAAUUAGUGUCCGUGGCAUUCUUAGCUGCUUUAUGGCCCCUUUGUUAAGAAUUCUCAUUUGCCACUUCUCCCGUGGUUUUUGAGUCUACGGCCUCUUAUGAGAUGAAGGAGUUGUUUCUAAACCUUAUUAUCGGGGUUCUUUUUUGAUCAAAUAAGGUAAGCUUUCAUUAAAUCAAUCAUGUAGAGAAUGCAAUUGAUUACCAAAAAGGCAAGUCUCUUGGUAAGCAAAAACCCUAACUGCUCAAGGAGCUCACAAAGUUUAAGCUAAUGAACUAUUUACAACAAAAUGGUAACUCCAAGCAAAAAGAUAUAUAAACAUCCAGCUUUUAAUGUGUGUAUGGGAGUUGAUCUUCCUUCAGAGCAUUUCUGAUUCCUUUCCUUCCAGAUGCUCCAAAUAAUACAUUGGAGAAUCAUCUUCCAAGUGCUUCUGAUGGACUUGGCAAACUCUGAAACUGCUCCAUAUGACAAAAGUUUCCUUUCGACUUCUUGGCAGUUCCCAACUUAAACCAAAAUUAUUGCUAAAUAGAACCCAUGAACUUCUAGACACUGUACAUUGCAAGAUUGGGGGUUCUUGUAAUGGUUUCAGUACGAUUAUUAACUGUACUGAGAAUCUAUAUUUGUCCUACAGUUCUAUACUCCUUGCUCUUAUUAUAAAUAUUAUGUUUAUAAAUUCCAUUUAUUUAAUCCUACGGUUCUAUAUUCUUUGCACUUAUUAUACGUACUCUGUUAGGUUUAGAUAUAUAGAUACUACAAUCUAUACUAAGAAUUUCAAGAUCUUUAAAUUCUAUUAAUAAAAAAUAUUAGCCAAUUGUUAAUUAGUACAACAACAUACACAUUGUAAUCCACAAGUGGAGUGUAGGGAGGGUAGUGUGUACGCAGACCUUACCCGUACCUUGUGGAGGUAGAGAGGUUGUUUCCGAUAGAUC